GAGCUUUGAGAACGUCUCAAAGCUCUGGUAGUGACAGUACGACUAUAGUAUGCUCAGACCUCAAUGUAUACCCUUACCUCGAUGCCAACCUUAGCCAUUGAUGUGAUGCUAAUUCAAACUCUGAUCUCUACGACAACCUCAGGCCCUUUAAUCACCACUGGGACCCAGUGCCGCAUAUGGGUAUCCCAUAAUAGUUUCACAUUGAUGUAACCUCCUGUUCAUGUGCAUAUGUGGAUGUAUGAGUGCAUAUGUAUGUGCUGCCGGGAGGUGCUUGCCGGGGAUGCCGCUGUCUGGGUGGUGAGUCGCCGGUGGAGUUUACUGUGGUGAGGAACGGAGGACUUAAGCCAGAGGAGGCGGUGAGCUAAUGGAGCUGGAGCGGCUGUGACUGCGGCUGUGAAUAAGGGUUAAAAGAUAGAGACCGCAGCACAUGUUUAAGCGAUCUUUAGACACACUCGCUUCCUGUCUUUGGAACGCACUAUCAGUCUUUGGAAUGCACUUCCUGUCACGUGCGCUCUGGAUAACGUUUUUUCAUCCGGUCUUUGGAAUGCACGCCGGCCGUCGCUCAUUCCUCCAUGCCCAGCAUCCACAUGUCCUCACAGCACUAUUUAAAGGGACUAGCUGUACCCUUCCCUCAACACCUCUCCUUUCUGGCACGAGAUAGUUCCCUGACAUUCAGGUGUUACAUCCUUACAUAGGAAGUUGUGACUCCCACAUCCCAACUGCGGCACAGACCCGUGUAAGGGCUCAUUUUUCGCUGAUCGAGCUGUAGUUUUCAUUGGUAUCAUGUUGAGGUACCAGCAUUUGAGGGGUUAAAUGACCGAGACAGGAGUUGAAUUCGAUCCCGUUUGCCGCUGGCGGGACUGGGAAACAUGGGCUGUGUGUCGGCCGCAUCUCCAGGACCAACUGCGGCUCCCCAAUCUGAACUGACUGCAUGGUAGUGAUUUAAGAUACAGUCAGUUCCUUUUUGAUCGUGGGGCUUUUGUACUGUGCUCACAUCAACAUCAUAUUGGAUCAGGUGAGCUGUGAUCGGCACGGUCAUGUGAG